UUCGUAUGAUCACCAAAGUUAAGCAAUGGUGAGCCUGGUCAGUACCUAGAUGGGUGACUGCUUGGGAAUACCAGGUGCUGUAAG